rnacentral:ncRNA from 2 species
GAUCGCCUUCGGGGUCGGGUGAAAUUCCCAACCGGCGGUGAUGAGUGGACGUAAAACUCUAAGCCCGUGACCCGUUUUAUAAGAGUUAAAUUUAUAAAACGGUGGAUUUGGUGAGAAACCAAAGCCGACAGUAAAGUCUGGAUGGGAGAAGGCAAAU